rnacentral:siRNA from 1 species
GUUUUGGACAGGUAUCGACA